AAGACUAUAGACCUGCGGAGUACCUGCGGAGGGAUCAUUACCGAGUUUAUAAAACUCCCACCCUUGUUUACUGUCUGUUGCUUCGGCGAGACGAUUGGAAUCAACCACUGGCUGUUGCUGGUGUGUGCUCGCCGGAGGUUUUUCACGCGAAUAUCUGCUGUCAGGGUUUUGACGAAUUUAAAAACUUUUAACAAUGGAUCUCU
rnacentral:misc_RNA from 1 species